rnacentral:rRNA from 1 species
GGGACACGUGGUAUCCUGUCUGAAUAUGGGGGGACCAUCCUCCAAGGCUAAAUACUCCUGACUGACCGAUAGUGAACCAGUACCGUGAGGGAAAGGCGAAAAGAACCCCGGCGAGGGGAGUGAAAAAGAACCUGAAACCGUGUACGUACAAGCAGUGGGAGCACCUUCGGGUGUGACUGCGUACCUUUUGUAUAAUGGGUCAGCGACUUAUAUUCUGUAGCAAGGUUAACCGUAUAGGGGAGCCGAAGGGAAACCGAGUCUUAACUGGGCGUUAAGUUGCAGGGUAUAGACCCGAAACCCGGUGAUCUAGCCAUGGGCAGGUUGAAGGUUGGGUAACACUAACUGGAGGACCGAACCGACUAAUGUUGAAAAAUUAGCGGAUGACCUGUGGCUGGGGGUGAAAGGCCAAUCAAACCGGGAGAUAGCUGGUUCUCCCCGAAAGCUAUUUAGGUAGCGCCUCGUGAACUCAUCUUCGGGGGUAGAGCACUGUUUCGGCUAGGGGGCCAUCCCGGCUUACCAACCCGAUGCAAACUACGAAUACCGAAGAAUGUUAUCACGGGAGACACACGGCGGGUGCUAACGUCCGUCGUGAAGAGGGAAACAACCCAGACCGCCAGCUAAGGUCCCAAAGUCAUGGUUAAGUGGGAAACGAUGUGGGAAGGCACAGACAGCCAGGAUGUUGGCUUAGA